AGAGCGAACGCUGGCGGCAGGCCUAACACAUGCAAGUCGAGCGCCCGUAGCAAUACGGGAGCGGCAGACGGGAUAGUAACACGUGGGAACGCGCCCUUCGGUUCGGAAUAACUCAGGGAAACUUGAGCUAAUACCGGAUACGCCCUUACGGGGAAAGAUUUAUUGCCGAAGGAACGGCCCGCGUCCGAUUAGCUAGUUGGUGAGGUAAUGGCUCACCAAGGCGACGAUCGGUAGCUGGUCUGAGAGGAUGACCAGCAUCACUGGGACUGAGACACGGCCCAGACUCCUACGGGAGGCAGCAGUGGGGAAUAUUGGACAAUGGGCGCAAGCCUGAUCCAGCCAUGCCGCGUGGAUGAUGAAGGCCUUAGGGUUGUAAAGUCCUUUUAACGGGGAGAUAAUGACGGUACCCGUAGAAUAAGCCCCGGCUAACUUCGUGCCAGCAGCCGC
rnacentral:rRNA from 1 species